UACGUAGGGUGCAAGCGUUACUCGGAAUUACUGGGCGUAAAGCGUGCGCAGGCGGUUUUGUAAGUCUGUUGUGAAAUCCCCGGGCUUAACCUGGGAAUGGCAAUGGAGACUGCAAGGCUAGAGUUUGGCAGAGGGGGGUAGAAUUCCACGUGUAGCAGUGAAAUGCGUAGAGAUGUGGAGGAACACCGAUGGCGAAGGCAGCCCCCUGGGUCAAGACUGACGCUCAUGCACGAAAGCGUGGGGAGCAAACAGG
rnacentral:rRNA from 1 species